rnacentral:rRNA from 1 species
UACCAGCACCCCGAGUGGUCGGGACGUUUAUUGGGCCUAAAGCAUCCGUAGCCGGUUCUACAAGUCUUCCGUUAAAUCCAGCUGCUUAACAGAUGGGCUGCGGAAGAUACUAUGGAGCUAGGAGGCGGGAGAGGCAAGCGGUACUCGAUGGGUAGAGGUAAAAUCCGUUGAUCCAUUGAAGACCACCAGUGGCGAAGGCGGCUUGCCAGAACGCGCUCGACGGUGAGGGAUGAAAGCUGGGGGAGCAAACCGG